UACGUAGGUGGCAAGCGUUGUCCGGAAUUAUUGGGCGUAAAGCGCGCGCAGGCGGCCUCUUAAGUCUGAUGUGAAAGCCCCCGGCUCAACCGGGAGGGCCAUUGGAACUGGGAGGCUUGAGUAUAGGAGAGAAGAGUGGAAUUCCACGUGUAGCGGUGAAAUGCGUAGAGAUGUGGAGGAACACCAGUGGCGAAGGCGACUCUUUGGCCUAUAACUGACGCUGAGGCGCGAAAGCGUGGGAGCAAACAGGA
rnacentral:rRNA from 1 species